rnacentral:rRNA from 1 species
UACGGAGGGUGCAAGCGUUGAUCGGAAUUACUGGGCGUAAAGCGCACGUAGGUGGUUUGUUAAGCCAGCUGUGAAAUCCCCGGGCUCAACCUGGGCACUGCAGUUGGAACUGGCAAGCUAGAGUAGGGUAGAGGGGUGUGGAAUUCCAGGUGUAGCGGUGAAAUGCGUAGAUAUCGGAAGGAACAUCAGUGGCGAAGGCGACACCCUGGACCGAUACUGACACUGAGGCGCGAAAGCGUGGGUAGCGAACAGG